rnacentral:ncRNA from 2 species
GAUUUAUAGAGAAGAGGCGAGAGAACAGGCUUUAUGACCCUCUGGCAACCUGCCCUGGCAGGGAAAAGGUGCCAAUUCCUGACCAAUGAUUUGGUGAAUAUAAAUU